AACGGAGCUCUGAGGGGCUGAUGGUGGGUGAGGCCCCGCGCACCGCAGCGGCUGCUUAAAGUGUGGAAGAAUCCUUAAGGAUUCCACGAGGACAGAAUGGGAAAGUUAAUUACGCUACUUCUACUGCUCGGGUCUUCCUAAUGAAAAACAGGAUGUUCUCAGAACCUCAUUCUAUCACUCUUACACAUCAUCCCAUCAGGCUGGAGUACAAAGGAAGGUGUUCCACUGCAGUAUAAGAACAGAAGCCACAGAAACCCACUGCCUGAAGGUCCAGAGGAGGACUCCAUGUGCCAACAACUCAGAACACCAGAAAAAAACAAGGCAGCCUUCUGCAGAGCACUACUGUUUGUCACUACUGAAGGCAGAAGAUCAAAGCAGAUACUCCAAAGCAACAUCAGAACAACUCUUAACACAACGCAUGCUUUUUCAGGGCUCAGGGGAGAGAAGCUGACUUGACAAGUAGUCAGUGUCUGAUAAACUGUUGUGCUUACUUUUCUUUCUGGUAGGGCAGAAUGGGACUGCAGCUGAGCUAGGGAACAUGAUUUGCAAGACACGUGCAUAAUAGGAAGGCAAAAGCAAUUAAGUGAAUAAAUGAAUUAAAGCAGAUUUACACCUGUGAGCCAAUUGAGCCUUACCAGAACCUUAUGCACGUAACUCUGUAGCAAGACUUUUGUCACUUGUUUACACACAGCUUCCAAACAGAUUCCUAAGAUCUGCAUGUUUUGAACCUGAUUCAGUAAAUCAUUUAGAAUGCCAACGAGAGCAUGAUUUCUCCCAGUAAGUGGAAAAAUACAGCACGCAGGCAUUCCUUCCACACACUGCCCUUUCACACUGUUGUGCAAUGCUUCUCACUGCAAGGAACCGAGCAGCUGAACAAUUAUACUGACACUGUGGCUUAACAGCGUUUCUCCCAUGCGACUCCCUUGGAUCCUUGUAAUAGCAUCAAAAGGACCUAUUUCAGGGACAGAAAUGUGCAGCUUGUCAUUCAGACACUCUCAUACUUUAACUCAUAGAAGAAAAAGAUGCGUGUUUUUAUUAUUUUUAAUCUUUGCCUCAGUGUUGCAUAAAGCUCUGCUUUGACUUUGCACCCAGGAAUAUCUUUAGCAAGGUUAUGAAGGUUGUCAGUCCAGUCCUCACCCUACUGCCCAAGACGCUGCAACAAGAAUGACACUGGAUGAAAGUUAAGGAAGGAGAACGGGGAGAAAAAGACAGAAAAUGUAUUAAAAGAAACCUGAAGAUUUCCCUGAUGGAAUUACUGUCUUGGUCAGGUCACCAUGACAGCACCCCUUUAAAAGGUAGCCUUGCUACAUAAACCAGUAUUAUCCAGCCCUUUGAGCACCUGACUGUGUUCAGUGAGGUUUUGAAUUUCAAUGUUUUUUUUGGCAAAGCCUUGUGUGUUCACAACCUUAAGUCAACAUUAAAUCCAAU
rnacentral:lncRNA from 7 species